rnacentral:rRNA from 1 species
GAUGAACGCUGGCGGCGUGCCUAAUACAUGCAAGUCGAGCGAACAGACGAGGAGCUUGCUCCUCUGACGUUAGCGGCGGACGGGUGAGUAACACGUGGAUAACCUACCUAUAAGACUGGGAUAACUUCGGGAAACCGGAGCUAAUACCGGAUAAUAUAUUGAACCGCAUGGUUCAAUAGUUAAAGACGGUUUUGCUGUCACUUAUAGAUGGAUCCGCGCCGCAUUAGCUAGUUGGUAAGGUAACGGCUUACCAAGGCAACGAUGGGUAGCCGACCUGAGAGGGUGAUCGGCCACAUGGGAACUGAGACGCGGUCCAGGCUCCUACGGGAGGCACCAGUCGCGAAUCUUCCGCAAUGGGAGAAAACCUGACACAGCUGCUGCGCGUGAGUGAUGAAGGUCUUCCGAUCGUAAAACUGUGUUAUUGGAGGAGAACAAAUGUGUAAGUAACGGUGCACAUCUUGACGGUACCUAAACAAAAAGCCACGGCUAACUACGUG